CCUACGGGGGGCAGCAGUGGGGAAUAUUGGACAAUGGGGGCAACCCUGAUCCAGCCAUGCCGCGUGUGUGAAGAAGGCCCUCGGGUUGUAAAGCACUUUCAGUGAGGAAGAACGCCUGGUGGUUAAUACCCAUCAGGAAAGACAUCACUCACAGAAGAAGCACCGGCUAACUCCGUGCCAGCAGCCGCGGUAAUACGGAGGGUGCGAGCGUUAAUCGGAAUUACUGGGCGUAAAGCGCGCGUAGGUGGCUUGAUAAGCCGGUUGUGAAAGCCCCGGGCUCAACCUGGGAACGGCAUCCGGAACUGUCAAGCUAGAGUGCAGGAGAGGAAGGUAGAAUUCCCGGUGUAGCGGUGAAAUGCGUAGAGAUCGGGAGGAAUACCAGUGGCGAAGGCAGCCUUCUGGACUGACACUGACACUGAGGUGCGAAAGCGUGGGUAGCAAACAGGAUUAGAUACCCGUGUAGUC
rnacentral:rRNA from 1 species